GCGUUGGUAGUGCAAUGGUUAGCAUAUGCUCCCGGAAAGAGUGAGAUCUGGGUUUGAAUCCCCGGUGACGCA